ACAAGUUGAUAUAAUAUAUACAGACUUUGCCAAGGCAUUUGAUUCUGUUAAUCACAAAGUUCUUCAUAGAAUACUACGAUCUUCUGGUUUUGGAGACCACCUUCUUACUUGGUUGAAGUCUUAUUUAGCACAAAGGCCACAGUGAUUAAAACUUUAUGGUGUAAGGUCUGAUCCUUUUAUUGCAACUUCAGGUGUACCCCAAGGAGGUCAUC